rnacentral:rRNA from 1 species
UACGUAGGGACCAAGCGUUGUCCGGAAUUAUUGGGCGUAAAGAGCUCGUAGGCGGUUUGUCGCGUCGGCUGUGAAAACCUGAGGCUCAACCUCAGGCCUGCAGUCGAUACGGGCAGACUAGAGUCCGGCAGGGGAGACUGGAAUUCCUGGUGUAGCGGUGAAAUGCGCAGAUAUCAGGAGGAACACCGAUGGCGAAGGCAGGUCUCUGGGCAUUAACUGACGCUGAGGAGCGAAAGCAUGGGGAGCGAACAGG